GCCUUGACGGUACCUGACCAGAAAGCCACGGCUAACUACGUGCCAGCAGCCGCGGUAAUACGUAGGUGGCAAGCGUUGUCCGGAAUUAUUGGGCGUAAAGCGCGCGCAGGCGGCUUCUUAAGUCUGAUGUGAAAGCCCACGGCUCAACCGUGGAGGGUCAUUGGAAACUGGGAGGCUUGAGUGCAGAAGAGAAGAGCGGAAUUCCACGUGUAGCGGUGAAAUGCGUAGAGAUGUGGAGGAACACCAGUGGCGAAGGCGGCUCUUUGGUCUGUAACUGACGCUGAGGCGCGAAAGCGUGGGGAGAGAACAGGAUUAGAUACCCUGGUAUUCCACGCCGUAAACGAUGAGUGCUAAGUGUUAGGGGGUUUCCGCCCCUUAGUGCUGCAGCAAACGCAUUAAGCACUCCGCCUGGGGAGUACGGCCGCAAGGCUGAAACUCAAAGGAAUUGACGGGGGCCCGCACAAGCGGUGGAGCAUGUGGUUUAAUUCGAAGCAACGCGAAGAACCUUACCAGGUCUUGACAUCCCGCUGACCGGUGCAGAGAUGUGCCUUUCCCUUCGGGG
rnacentral:rRNA from 1 species